AAAAAGAUAAGCUAAUCUAAGCUUUUAGGCUCAUACCCUAAAUAUAAAGGCUAUAAUCCUUUUCUUCUUA
rnacentral:tRNA from 1 species